UACAGGGGGUGCAAACGUUGCUCGGAAUCAUUGGGCGUAAAGCGCACGUAGGCGGUUCGUUAUGUCGGAUGUGAAAGCCCUUGGCUUAACCGAGGAAGUGCAUCCGAAACUGGCGAGCUAGAGUACUAAAGAGGAUCGCGGAAUUCCCAGUGUAGAGGUGAAAUUCGUAGAUAUUGGGAAGAACACCGGUGGCGAAGGCGGCUCUCUGGACCGAUACUGACGCUGAGGCGCGAAAGCGUGGGGAGCAAACAGG
rnacentral:rRNA from 1 species